rnacentral:lncRNA from 13 species
GUAGACGGAGAAAGACGGAGACGGAGAGAGAGACGGAGAAGGCGAGAGAGCUGCUGAGACCACGUGGAAAGAGAAGAGAGAACAGGCUGCAUGGAUGGCUACUGCUGAACACACACACACACACACACACAGAUCUUAAAUAGCACAGUUUUGUCCUGUUGUGUUCGGAGAAAGCCAGCUCUCUCCUGGUCCCUCUGGGGAAAAAAAGGUUAAAAUAUGAGGAAUUAAAAGAGCAUCAUGUUCCAAUAUCUAGAACACCACUGGACCUGAGGUGGUAGACUACAUCCCUUCCCUCAGACUGGUGACAUAUUCACACCUAAAUCAUGCUGUCUUAUAGUCAUCGUGUCUCUCUUCAACAGGAGAACAUGAUGUGUCUCUCUUCAACAGGAGAACACGAACGUGUCUCUCUUCAACAUGAGAACAGGAACGUGUCUCUCUUCAACAGGAGAACACGAUCGUGUCUCUCUUCGACAGGAGAACAUGAUCGUGUCUCUCUUCAACAGGAGAACAUGAUGUCUCUCUUCAACAGGAGAACACGAACGUGUCUCUCUUCAACAGGAGAACACGAUCGUGUCUCUCUUCAACAGGAGAACACGAUCGUGUCUCUCUUCAACAGGAGAACAUGAUCGUGUCUCUCUUCAACAGGAGAACAUGAUCGUGUCUCUCUUCAACAGGAGAACAUGAUCGUGUCUCUCUUCAACAGGAGAACAUGAUCGUGUCUCUCUUCAACAGGAGAACAUGAUCGUGUCUCUUCGACAGGAGAACAUGAACGUGUCUCUCUUCGACAGGA